rnacentral:rRNA from 1 species
UGCAAGUCGAGCGGCAGCACGGGUACUUGUACCUGGUGGCGAGCGGCGGACGGGUGAGUAAUGCCUAGGAAUCUGCCUGGUAGUGGGGGAUAACGCUCGGAAACGGACGCUAAUACCGCAUACGUCCUACGGGAGAAAGCAGGGGACCUUCGGGCCUUGCGCUAUCAGAUGAGCCUAGGUCGGAUUAGCUAGUUGGUGAGGUAAUGGCUCACCAAGGCGACGAUCCGUAACUGGUCUGAGAGGAUGAUCAGUCACACUGGAACUGAGACACGGUCCAGACUCCUA